rnacentral:rRNA from 1 species
AACGCUAGCUACAGGCUUAACACAUGCAAGUCGAGGGGCAGCAUGGUCUUAGCUUGCUAAGGCCGAUGGCGACCGGCGCACGGGUGAGUAACACGUAUCCAACCUGCCGUCUACUCUUGGACAGCCUUCUGAAAGGAAGAUUAAUACAAGAUGGCAUCAUGAGUCCGCAUGUUCACAUGAUUAAAGGUAUUCCGGUAGACGAUGGGGAUGCGUUCCAUUAGAUAGUAGGCGGGGUAACGGCCCACCUAGUCUUCGAUGGAUAGGGGUUCUGAGAGGAAGGUCCCCCACAUUGGAACUGAGACACGGUCCAAACUCCUACGGGAGGCAGCAGUGAGGAAUAUUGGUCAAUGGGCGAGAGCCUGAACCAGCCAAGUAGCGUGAAGGAUGACUGCCCUAUGGGUUGUAAACUUCUUUUAUAAAGGAAUAAAGUCGGGUAUGGAUACCCGUUUGCAUGUACUUUAUGAAUAAGGAUCGGCUAACUCCGUGCCAGCAGCCGCGGUAAUACGGAGGAUCCGAGCGUUAUCCGGAUUUAUUGGGUCUAAAGGGAGCGUAGAUGGAUGUUUAAGUCAGUUGUGAAAGUUUGCGGCUCAACCGUAAAAUUGCAGUUGAUACUGGAUAUCUUGAGUGCAGUUGAGGCAGGCGGAAUUCGUGGUGUAGCGGUGAAAUGCUUAGAUAUCACGAAGAACUCCGAUUG